AGAGAAUAAUACUGAGGAAAGACAGCCAAUGGGCAUAGGGCAACUUUCGAAACCGGAAGCAAGUUAAAACCCUAUUCGUUAACCUCUUUGGAUCACAUAAGCCUAACAUGGGGCUGUUGGAGUAAAAUAAGAUUAUGCCACUCUGAUCAUUUUAGAAGACGCUGAAGGACAAGAACGUGACAAAUCGAUGAUUUGCCUGCCUGCCAAACUCAGCUCUUUCUUCUGAAGUUACAUCUCCAAUCAAUGUCUCUUUUAUACGUGACUAAGACAUGUUCUCUCAGGAGAGAUAAGCAAAGUGUUCCAGCCACGGGCACAUUCUUACGGCUUUCUUACUGCUUGAAUACUAAGAAGUAUAUCAGAUUGCAGCACAGAGCAGAAAACUGAAUUAAAGGAUUGGUGGAUUGGGCUGGUCUCAAGUAACAUACUCCGGAGUUCACUUCUGAACCAAAUUCCAUUUUGGAGGAUGAGUAGUAGCCUAUCACAGGAUG